rnacentral:rRNA from 1 species
UGCGUAGGCGGAAUAUUAAGUCAGUGGUGAAAUCCUGCGGCUCAACCGUAGAACUGCCAUUGAUACUGAUAUUCUUGAAUAUAGUUGAGGUAGGCGGAAUGUGUAAUGUAGCGGUGAAAUGCUUAGAUAUUACACAGAACAUCGAUUGCGAAGGCAGCUUACUAAGCUAUGAUUGACGCUGAGGUACGAAAGCGUGGGGAGCGAACAGGAUUAGAUACCCUGGUAGUCC